ACACGCAUGGUGAAACGGUAUCAUGCUUGCCUUCCAUCACGAAGAGUUGAGGCAUCUCAGCAAGCGGCAGGGGUUCGACUCCCCUUGCGUGUA